GCCCGCUCAAGAAACUACAAAUGAAUUGACGGGGCCCGCACAAGCGGUGGAGUAUGUGGUUUAAUUCGAUGCAACGCGAAGAACCUUACCUGGUCUUGACAUCCCGGAGACCCUUAGGAAACUAGGGGGUGCUUCCAUCUGGAAGAAUCUGGAGACAGGUGCUGCAUGGCUGUCGUCAGCUCGUGUCGUGAGAUGUUGGGUUAAGUCCCGCAACGAGCGCAACCCUUGCCUUUAGUUGCCAGCAGUUCGGCUGGGCACUCUAAAGGGACUGCCGGUGUUAAACCGGAGGAAGGUGGGGAUGACGUCAAGUCCUCAUGGCCUUUAUGACCAGGGCUACACACGUACUACAAUGGCCGAUACAAAGGGCAGCGACACUGCGAGGUGAAGCCAAUCCCGUAAAAUCGGUCUCAGUCCGGAUUGGAGUCUGCAACUCGACUCCAUGAAGUUGGAAUCGCUAGUAAUCGUGGAUCAGCAUGCCACGGUGAAUACGUUCCCGGGCCUU
rnacentral:rRNA from 1 species